GAUGAACGCUGGCGGCGUGCCUAAUACAUGCAAGUCGAGCGAAUGGAUUGAGAGCUUGCUCUUAUGAAGUUAGCGGCGGACGGGUGAGUAACACGUGGGUAACCUGCCCAUAAGACUGGGAUAACUCCGGGAAACCGGGGCUAAUACCGGAUAACAUUUUGAACCGCAUGGUUCGAAAUUGAAAGGCGGCUUCGGCUGUCACUUAUGGAUGGACCCGCGUCGCAUUAGCUAGUUGGUGAGGUAACGGCUCACCAAGGCAACGAUGCGUAGCCGACCUGGGGGGGUGAGCGGCCACAAUGGGACUGAGACACGGCCCAGACUCCUACGGGAGGCAGCAGUAGGGAAUCUUCCGCAAUGGACGAAAGUCUGACGGAGCAACGCCGCGUGAGUGAUGAAGGCUUUCGGGUCGUAAAACUCUGUUGUUAGGGAAGAACAAGUGCUAGUUGAAUAAGCUGGCACCUUGACGGUACCUAACCAGAAAGCCACGGCUAACUACGUGCCAGCAGCCGCCGUAA
rnacentral:rRNA from 1 species